rnacentral:rRNA from 1 species
AACGAACGCUAGCGGCGUGGCUAAGACAUGCAAGUCGAACGGACUAUCCAAUUGAGUAAUCGAGGGGAUAGUUAGUGGCGAAAGGGUUAGUAACGGAUGGGUAACGUACCCUGUGCUUUGGGAUAGCGUCAUCCCGACUUCGGUCGGGAUUUCCGAAAGGGGCGGUAAUACCAAAAAUAUCAUUUGUCUAUAGGCGGAUGAUCAAAGAUUUAUCGGCAUAGGCGCGGCCUGUCUCCUAUCAGCUUGUUGGUGAGGUAACGGCUCACCAAGGCUGCGACGGGUAGCGGGACUGAGAGGUUGGCCCGCAACAUCGGGACUGAGACACUGCCCGGACCUCCACGGAGGGCUGCAGUAACGAAUAUUGUGCAAUGGGCGAAAGCCUGACACAGCGACGCCGCGUGUAGGAUGAAGUCCUUCGGGAUGUAAACUACUGUCAGGGGGAAGAAAGUGCGCUUCGGCGCGUUGAUCUAACCCAGAGGAAGUCACGGCUAACUUCGUGCCAGCAGCCGCGGUAAGACGAAGGUGGCAAGCGUUGUUCGGUAUUACUGGGCUUAAAGCGUGUGUAGGCGGAAAGGUAAGCGUUGCGUGAAAGCCCCCGGCUUAACCGGGGAACUGCGCAAUGAACUGCUUUUCUUGAGGCAAGUAGGGGUGCAUGGAACUCUUGGUGGAGCGGUGGAAUGCGUAGAUAUCAAGAGGAACGCCAGUGGAGAAAUCGGUGCACUGGGCUUGUCCUGACGCUGAGACACGAAAGCGUGGGUAGCGAACGGGAUUAGAUACCCCGGUAGUCCACGCCGUAAACGAUGCCUACUAGGUUGUGAAAGUUCUGACACUGGCACAGCCGAAGCAAAAGUGAUAAGUAGGCCGCCUGGGGAGACGGUCGCAAGGCU